GUGUUGCGGCUCAGCGGUAGAGUGCUCACCUAGUGCAUGAGAGGUGCUGGGUUCGAUCCUCUGCACCACA
rnacentral:tRNA from 1 species